GAAAAUCUGAACAUAAAGCAAAAGGUAGAGGGAACCUCAGAUUUAACUGAUCAACUAAUCACCUUCUAAUAGCAGUUCUAAAAAAUCAUUGCAAAACAAUUCAAAUUUAAAUUUAUGCCACAUUAAUUGAAUUAUGGACCAACAGUAUCUACAUGAAGCAAAUCAGAGUCUUCCUUUGUACCCCAUCAUAAACCUCAUAAAACAUGUCAAACAUCAACAAAGAGUUAAUAAGAGCAGGAUGCAACUCUAAAAUUGUUCAUAAGAUCAAACUGAUAAUACAGCCAAUUAACAAAAUGCUCACUUUCUAGACAACAGGGAUAGUCCAGGCAUUGGUUCCCUAAAGCUUGAAAUCAGUAAACAACAAUUCA
rnacentral:misc_RNA from 1 species